ACUUACGGGUUAAUGGUUAUCUUGAUGUGCUCAAUUUCAAUGGAAUUUGGUUCGCUCAAACGCCGAUUAGUAGAACCUGUGAAUGGUUAAUACCUCUGCAUCAUGUUCUAUCUCUGUGUAUUGGCUAAAUCAAUCGACAAGUGUUCAUAUGCUCAAAGGAAACCACAUUCUUCCUGUAAACGUACAGUGUAAAAGACCUGAGCGGUCGAGAUUAGGGGAGUCGUAAUUUUGACCCAUUUGGGCCCAAAUGUUCUACUUCCGAGACGGCCACGAUCUCGUCCGUGCAUCCACAGAGGGCAUUGCGAUCGGUUAAUACAUUUGAUCGGAUCCUGAUCAGACCGUGGAUCCACACACAGAUCAAACACUUGAUCGGCAACUGACGGUCACGAUGGCAUCUCGAUCAACCUUGGGUACUCCAUCGUGUCUUCUAUAUAAAAUCCGGCUCAGUCUGUGUCUCCAAGAUCCUCUCGCGAAGUAAAACCCUAGCCGGAGUACCUUUCCUCUUCUUUGCGGCGGAUCUCGCAGCCCUCCGAGUAAUGACUCCUCCUAUCUCAUGAUAUCUGCAUCUACCGCUCUAUGUCCUUUGUUUGUCUCCAAGAUCCUCUCGCGAAGUAAAACCCUAGCCGGAGUACCUUUCCUCUUCUUUGCGGCGGAUCUCGCAGCCCUCCGAGUAAUGACUCCUCCUAUCUCAUCUACCGCUCUAUGUCCUUUGUUUGUUCAGUGGUUUAUUGAUCGUGCGCUCCCUCACAUUUGCUUUUUGAUAUCGUCCUAUUUUGACACUCAUUUGUUGUGUUAUUAUUGUUGGUGCUGUUGUGAUUUUUUUUUUUAUGCAAUCUGUAUAAACGUUUAGUCAAAAGUUAUGCUUAUUACGAUUGGGAAGAAUGCUUGUAGGCGAUAUAUACAUUUCCGUGGGAAGUGAAUUGUUAUAUCCUGUGCUAAAACGUGCUACCGUGGAAACACUCUGACUAUAACAGCAGUUCCGCUUAGAGUCAUUAGUAUUGCCUUCUAUUAAUAACCAGGCUUAAAUUUCCAGGGCAUUUAGGUUUACAUGUUGAAUAGUCGUACAUAUAAACAAUGUUGUAGAAUCUGCUCAAAAGAAAUGUGAGUGUUCGGGAGGAUCUUUUGGAAAAGCAGCCGCUUUUAUGGUCUUUAAUAAUCAUUCCUUCAAUGAGGUUUCAGUGGCUUACCGCCAAAUCUCUUGGAUAAUUCCAAAAGAUUGUGUCAGUCGUUUUCUGCUUGCUUGUUUAUUAAGAUAAUUUGUUAUAAUUUUGGAAGGAACAUGUUUUCAUAUUUUUGAAGAUCGGAAAAAGAAACCUCACGUCUUCUCAAACAACUCCAGGACGUGAAAGCAUGAUCCUGAUUCCAGGAAUGGAAUGGAAUGGAAAGGAAAUUCCUUUUUGAUCAGCAUAAUAGAAACACUAGAAUUUUAUUUCUUGCAUGGUGAGAGAAUAUUCUCCAAAAAAAAGUCUUGCAGUUGUGCUGUGACAAAUUUAUCUCCUUUGUGACAUAUUUACAAUUCGACUGCUGAACCUGUGCUGCUGGUCUUUUCAAUAGUUCUUCUGAGUCUUUAGUUGAAUAGUUGUUCGAAUGAAACAUAAUAAUGGCAGCAUGAAACAAUUUGAGUAUUCUUUAAUUUUGGAACAUUUUCUGGAUUUUUGUGUUGAGUGUUUCAGUACUCUCUAGGUAAGGUUCUUAUAUUUUGUUAAUUGUCUUUUUCUUACAUAUCGACACAUACCCUUGUUAUGCUUUGUAUAUUGUUGGUUUUAUAAUGUUUGUUAUUAAGGAGAAAAAUAUUAGAUGAACCUUGUUCCUUGAUA